rnacentral:rRNA from 1 species
CCUACGGGAGGCAGCAGUGGGGAAUAUUGGGCAAUGGAGGCAACUCUUACCCAGCAAUGCCGCGUGAAUGAAGAAGGUCUUCGGAUUGUAAACCUCUGUCUUUGGGGACGAAUUGAGACGGUACCCAAGGAGGAAGCUCCGGCUAACUACGUGCCAGCAGCCGCGGUAAUACGUAGGGAGCAAGCGUUGUCCGGAAUUACUGGGUGUAAAGGGAGCGUAGGCGGGAUAGUAAGUUGAGUGUUAAAACUAUCGGCUCAACUGGUAGAUGCGAUCAAAACUGCAAUUCUUGAGUGAAGUAGAGGCAGGCGGAAUUCCUAGUGUAGCGGUGAAAUGCGUAGAUAUUAGGAGGAACACCAGUGGCGAAGGCGGCCUGCUGGGCUUUAACUGACGCUGAGGCUCGAAAGUGUGGGUAGCAAACAGGAUUAGAUACCCGGGUAGUC